rnacentral:rRNA from 1 species
GGCAGCAGUGAGGAAUAUUGGUCAAUGGGCGCGAGCCUGAACCAGCCAAGUCGCGUGAGGGAUGACGGUCCUACGGAUUGUAAACCUCUUUUGCCGGGGAGCAAGCGUGCGUUCGUGAACGCGCGUCGAGAGUACCCGGAGAAAAAGCAUCGGCUAACUCCGUGCCAGCAGCCGCGGUAAUACGGAGGAUGCGAGCGUUAUCCGGAUUUAUUGGGUUUAAAGGGUGCGUAGGCGGGAUGCCAAGUCAGCGGUAAAAAUGCGGUGCUCAACGCCGUCGAGCCGUUGAAACUGGCGUUCUUGAGUGGGCGAGAAGUAUGCGGAAUGCGUGGUGUAGCGGUGAAAUGCAUAGAUAUCACGCAGAACUCCGAUUGCGAAGGCAGCAUACCGGCGCCCUACUGACGCUGAGGCACGAAAGCGUGGGUAUCGAACAGGAUUAGAUACCCUGGUAGUCCACGCAGUAAACGAUGAAUGCUAACUGUCCGGCUCGAAUGAGCGCUGGGCGGU